GCCCAGCAUAGCUCAGUCAGUAGAGCAGGAGAUGCUUUAUCUCAGGGUUGUGGGUUUGAGCCCCAAGUUAGGCA